CUUGCUAAGUUUGAUGGCGACCGGCGCACGGGUGAGUAACACGUAUCCAACCUGCCGAUGACUCGGGGAUAGCCUUUCGAAAGAAAGGUUAAUACCCGAUGGCAUAGUUCUUCCGCAUGGUAGAACUAUUAAAGAAUUUCGGUCGUCGAUGGGGAUGCGUUCCAUUAGGUUGUUGGCGGGGUAACGGCCCACCAAGCCUUCGAUGGAUAGGGGUUCUGAGAGGAAGGUCCCCCACAUUGGAACUGAGACACGGUCCAAACUCCUACGGGAGGCAGCAUG
rnacentral:rRNA from 1 species